rnacentral:lncRNA from 1 species
AAGCCAUCCCAACUUCCUCCUGGUGCAGAGAGGGAGACAACCCCCACAGAUGGAGACUUCCUUCACAAAUGCAAAUGUCUCCAUCAAAGGGCAAGCAAAUUCCACUCCUCGGAGCCCCCUUCUCAUCUGCAGUUUUAAAAGUAACCAGCCUAAAAUCCUCAUCAAAAUCCACUGAAGGACACAAUCUGAGGCACAGGUUUUCCAGCUAGCCAGUGAGAUAAAAUGCUUCCUGUGACCUCAUGGCACAUACAAUUCAAUGGACUUCUAGUUCUUCAUCCAAGUGGUUAACAAAAAAAUUCCCAAAUGAAGCAGAUUCAUGAGAUAGCUCACGCCCCAACUUUUCUGGGAAGUAAUCUCCG